GUCCACGCCGUAAACUAUGGAUGCUAGCUGUAAGAAGUAUCGACCCUUCUUGUAGCGAAGCUAACGCGUUAAGCAUCCCGCCUGUGGAGUACGAGCGCAAGCUUAAAACAUAAAGGAAUUGACGGGGACCCGCACAAGCGGUGGAGCGUGUUGUUUAAUUCGAUGGUAAGCGAAGAACCUUACCCAGGCUUGACAUCCUUGGAAGCACUGCGAAAGCAGAGUGUGUCUUCGGAAACCAAGUGACAGGUGUUGCAUGGCCGUCGU
rnacentral:rRNA from 1 species